CUAUUGCUCUGUUACAGUAAUUGUCAUUGUGGACUCCAGCAGGUCUACAUGUUCUGUUAAGAGACUGGAUUCUGAGAGCGAGAUCCUGUGAAGUGUUCAUCAAAGCUGAAGAGAAGAACUGCAUCUGUGUUCAGCAACUGUCCGGAGUUGGUGGAUGUUCUGUCCGAGCCUGAUUAAAAGAUUGAUAAACAGAUGCUGUGAAGUAAGUCCGGAUGCUACAGACACAGAAAAAGAUGCUGCAAUGGAGGAACACAGCAAGCACCUUCCAGGAAGAGCUGAGGAAUAUUAGAAAUAAAGACUCUAAAAUAACA